UACGUAGGGUGCAAGCGUUAAUCGGAAUUACUGGGCGUAAAGGGCGCGUAGGCGGCACUGUUAGUCAGGCGUGAAAGUCCUGGGCUCAACCUGGGAACUGCGCUUGAUACGGCAGAGCUAGAGGAUGGAAGAGGGUCGCGGAAUUCCCAGUGUAGAGGUGAAAUCGUAGAUAUUGGGAAGAACACCGGUGGCGAAGGCGGCGACCUGGUCCAUUACUGACGCUGAGGCGCGACAGCGUGGGGAGCAAACAGG
rnacentral:rRNA from 1 species